UACGUAGGGUGCGAGCGUUAAUCGGAAUUACUGGGCGUAAAGCGUGCGCAGGCGGUCUGUUAAGACCGAUGUGAAAUCCCCCGGGCUUAACCUGGGAACUGCAUUGGUGACUGGCAGGCUUUGAGUGUGGCAGAGGGAGGUAGAAUUCCACGUGUAGCAGUGAAAUGCGUAGAGAUGUGGAGGAAUACCGAUGGCGAAGGCAGCCUCCUGGGCCAACACUGACGCUCAUGCACGAAAGCGUGGGAGCAAACAGG
rnacentral:rRNA from 1 species